rnacentral:rRNA from 1 species
UACGAAGGGGGCGAGCGUUGUUCGGAGUUACUGGGCGUAAAGGGCGCGUAGGCGGCGCUCCAAGUUAGGCGUGAAAGCCCCGGGCUCAACCUGGGAAUAGCGCUUAAGACUGGAGGGCUCGAGUGCGGAAGAGGUGAGUGGAAUUCCCAGUGUAGAGGUGAAAUUCGUAGAUAUUGGGAAGAACACCAGUGGCGAAGGCGGCCCACUGGGCCGCAACUGACGCUGAGGCGCGAAAGCGUGGGGAGCAAACAGG